AGCGAACGCUGGCGGCAGGCCUAACACAUGCAAGUCGAACGAACCUUUCGGGGUUAGUGGCGGACGGGUGAGUAACACGUGGGAACGUGCCUUUAGGUUCGGAAUAACUCAGGGAAACUUGUGCUAAUACCGAAUGUGCCCUUCGGGGGAAAGAUUAAUCGCCUUUAGAGCGGCCCGCGUCUGAUUAGCUAGUUGGUUGAGGUAAUGGCUCACCAAGGCGACGAUCAGUAGCUGGUCUGAGAGGAUGAUCAGCCACAUUGGGACUGAGACACGGCCCAAACUCCUACGGGAGGCAGCAGUGGGGAAUCUUGCGCAAUGGGCGAAAGCCUGACGCAGCCAUGCCGCGUGAAUGAUGAAGGUCUUAGGAUUGUAAAAUUCUUUCACCGGGGACGAUAUGACGGUACCCGGAGAAGAAGCCCCGGCUAACUUCGUG
rnacentral:rRNA from 1 species